rnacentral:rRNA from 1 species
GACGAACGCUGGCGGCGUGCUUAACACAUGCAAGUCGAACGGAAAGGCCCUGCUUUUGUGGGGUGCUCGAGUGGCGAACGGGUGAGUAACACGUGAGUAACAUGCCCUUGACUUUGGGAUAACUUCAGGAAACUGGGGCUAAUACCGGAUAGGAGCUCCUGCUGCAUGGUGGGGGUUGGAAAGUUUCGGCGGUUGGGGAUGGACUCGCGGCUUAUCAGCUGGUUGGUGGGGUAGUGGCUUACCAGGGCUUUGACGGGUAGCCGGCCUGAGAGGGUGACCGGCCACAUUGGGACUGAGAUACGGACCAGACUCCUACGGGAGGCAGCAGGGGGGAAUAUUGCACAAUGGGCGGAAGCCUGAUGCAGCAACGCCGCGUGCGGGAUGACGGCCUUCGGGUUGUAAACCGCUUUCGCCUGUGACGAAGCGUGAGUGACGGUAAUUGGUAAAGAAGCACCGGCUAACUACGUG